GCCCAGGUGGCGGAAUUGGUAGACGCGCUAGUUUCAGGUACUAGUGCCCGUAAGGGCGUGGAAGUUCGAGUCUUCUCCUGGGCACCA
rnacentral:tRNA from 1 species